UGCUAUCGGGGGGACGGGGGUUGUGGGGUAUAUUGUUUGCUGUUUGGUGGAGCAUUCUGUUGAUCAGCUGUUUGGGGUAGUCGUUUCGUCGAAGAUGUUCGGUGAUCAGUAGAUUCUGCUCGUCACGGUUGCGUACCGUACUCAGUGCUCGAACUCGGUUUAUGAAAUUCGACACAACGCCAAGCUUCUGGUCCAAGGGGUGCAUGGAGUGGUAAUUGAGUAGCCUCCCUGACGAGAUGGGUUUGGCAUACCAAUCGGUGCUUAACGUGUUGUCGUUAUUUCGGAUGAUGAAAAAGUGAGAAAAGUGCGUUAGUACAACAUUGUGUCGAUCACCAACACAGAUUUGACAUCAAGCACCCCAAGAUCAUCGAUAAGACCUUCAGGACCCACACACUACCAUUCCUCGAGAUGUGCCAUAUCGCGACAACAGCCCAAACCGUAAACAAACGCACUGAUACGGAGGGGCUCAGUGUAGCGUACGCACAUCUCCUAUCGUCUAUCUCACUCAUUAAAAAACCGAAACCAAACACGAACACCAAUAGUCAACCAUCCCAUACCCAAACAAACCAUCCCAAUAGCCCUAUUCCACCAACACAACAUCCCACUGCACUGCAACCAACACCACCACCCCCCAGUUGAUCCUAAAGUAGUUAAAACCAUUUUCGUUUUGCAUGGAAAAUAGUGACCUGUGCCAAUUUUUGCGUUUAUCCCCGUUUAUUUGUGUCCAUUUAAGUAAAAAUAACGAUCUGUACACCUUAACGUGCUUAAUGAUACAAUUACGGGAGGCAGUGCAAACCAAAAGUGACAAAUUAUCGCCCGAUCGACGAAACCUGACUAAGUUGGUCAAGCCCUAGCCCUGAUGAAGAUGCCCCCCAAUAGCAUCGAAACGUUGGCAUUGGUAUAAAACGGACCAACCGCAUAUUAAUUGACUGAUCAGCCGAAACAAAAAAAAAAAAACCCAAAAUAU